CCUACGGGGUGCUGCAGUGGGGAAUAUUGGACAAUGGGCGAAAGCCUGAUCCAGCCAUGCCGCGUGUGUGAAGAAGGCCUUCGGGUUGUAAAGCACUUUCAGUGGGGUAGAAAGCCUUGGGGCUAAUACCCUCGAGGAAGGACAUCACCCACAGAAGAAGCACCGGCUAACUCCGUGCACAGCAGCCGCGGUAAUACGGAGGGUGCGAGCGUUAAUCGGAAUUACUGGGCGUAAAGCGCGCGUAGGCGGUCUGAUAAGCCGGUUGUGAAAGCCCCGGGCUCAACCUGGGAACGGCAUCCGGAACUGUCAGGCUAGAGUGCAGGAGAGGAAGGUAGAAUUCCCGGUGUAGCGGUGAAAUGCGUAGAGAUCGGGAGGAAUACCAGUGGCGAAGGCGGCCUUCUGGACUGACACUGACGCUGAGGUGCGAAAGCGUGGGUAGCAAACAGGAUUAGAUACCCUAGUAGUC
rnacentral:rRNA from 1 species